UGGGGAAUAUUGGACAAUGGGCGAAAGCCUGAUCCAGCCAUGCCGCGUGUGUGAAGAAGGUCUUCGGAUUGUAGAGCACUUUAAGUUGGGAGGAAGGGCAGUAAGUUAAUACCUUGCUGUUUUGACGUUACCAACAGAAUAAGCACCGGCUAACUUCGUG
rnacentral:rRNA from 1 species